rnacentral:rRNA from 1 species
AUUUUAUUUCUAGUGAUUGGAAUGAUGGGAAUCCAAACCCCUUUCAGAGUAACAAUUGGAGGGCAAGUCUGGUGCCAGCAGCCGCGGUAAUUCCAGCUCCAAUAGCGUAUAUUAAAGUUGUUGCAGUUAAAAAGCUCGUAGUUGGAUAUCUGCUGGAAGCAAUCAGUCCGCCCUAUUUUAGGGUGUGCACUUGAUGAAUUCUGGCAUCUAGUAUCCCUAAUAUAGUCACGAUUUUCAGUAAUCGUGACUUCUUAUUAGGGAUAAUACAGUUACUUUGAGAAAAUUAGAGUGUUUGAAGCAGGCUUGUUGCCUUGAAUACUGCAGCAUGGAAUAACAAUAUAGGAUUUCGGUUCUAUUUUGUUGGUUUCUAGGACUGAAAUAAUGAUUAAUAGGGACAGUUGGGGGCAUUCGUAUUUAACUGUCAGAGGUGAAAUUCUUAGAUUUGUUAAAGACGAACUACUGCGAAAGCAUUUGCCAAGGAUGUUUUCAUUAAUCAAGAACGAAAGUUAGGGGCUCGAAGACGAUCAGAUACCGUCGUAGUCUUAACCAUAAACUAUGCCGACUAG